UACGGGGGGAGCAAGCGUUGUUCGGAUUUACUGGGCGUAAAGGGCGCGUAGGCGGUCAGCACAAGUCAGUUGUGAAAUCUCCGGGCUUAACUCGGAAAGGUCAACUGAUACUGUGCGACUGGAGUGCAGAAGGGGCAACUGGAAUUCUCGGUGUAGCGGUGAAAUGCGUAGAUAUCGAGAGGAACACCUGCGGCGAAGGCGGGUUGAUGGGCUGACACUGACGCUGAUGCGCGAAAGCCAGGGGAGCGAACGGG
rnacentral:rRNA from 1 species